UCCCUGGUGGUCCAGGGUUAGGAUGUGGCGCUUUCAAUGCCAGGGUCCAAGUUCAAUCCCUGGUUGGGGAA
rnacentral:tRNA from 1 species